UAGCCUGCACCUCGCGUAAUUUCCGCUUGCGUGGGGCAAAGCGUGCGUAAAAUGUAGCGGCGCGUGUCAAACGCACGUGUUCGUUUGGCGUGGUGAUGCGAGUUUGGAGAGUCGAGGCGAACUGAAUCGUGCGCCUUGCGUUGCUCGCCUUUUCCCGUUAGCUAUGCCCGGGCACUUUUCCGCUGAAAUAAAUGCUUGAUGGCUGAGCUGUGUCAUUGCAACUAAAGAGGCUUGGGGACGUCCACUUUAAAGUUCAGAUUCCUGUGCCGAAGGACUUCCCACCCUCCAAUACCGGCCUGCAGCUUUUCCCGCAUUGCUAUGAGCUCACCAUGUGACCACAUCGUUGCAGUAGCGUAACACACGGCACACUACGGACAGCUGGGCAUCAACACAGUUCCACCUCUUCUGUACUGAAAGUGAUGAGACUUGUCACGACUCACAACAAUGAUGGAAGACCUUGGGGCUGAAUUGAGAGGGUGAGAUCUUGAAAAUGAGAGCGCUCCGGUUCAGAACGAGCGAGGUAAAGCCAAACAAGUAUCGGUAGCACAAUCCAUACAACGCCGUCAAAUC